UAGGAAGGAGGCUUUCAGUGACGUCCCCUUCUGGAUUCUAAGUGUGCAACCUCAGCUUCCUUUCAGAACACAGGCACAAACUCACAUCUCUUUUUGUUUCUUUUUUUCUUUUUUCUUUUUACAGAUGGCAGGAAUCUAGCAGUGACUAAAACAAGCCAAAUCUCCUGCCCUCAGGGAGCAAGGAACCGAAUCAGAGUUCUGAGUAAUGGGAUUUCAGCUGAGUCACCAGACUGGGUUUGGCCAUGCUGGGGAUUGAACCCAAGGGCUUCUAGCAUGCUAGGGACCUCAGGGCAGUGCUGAGUUUACCAGGAAGGUAUUACCAAGCAGGAAGUUUGAUGUCCUGGAGGCACCUGACAGCUCUCAUGAACCCAGAGCAGUAUGGAAGACUUGGAGGAGCAGGACCAUUUGGACGCACGAUGUUGGCCUGUCCUGGAGCACUUCCUGGAGUCUGCCAGACCACUGUCUUGAUUGGCUCAGAACAUAGGCUGAUGUGGGCCACACCCAGCCUUCUUCCCUUCCACGUCCCUCCAGUGUGGGUUGCUCAGUGGAUCAGGCUUAUCUUUGUGACCCUUGAUGUCUUGGGUUCACAGCCAAUGAAGUGUCCUGGCCAUGUGGCCCUGCACCAGGAUCCUGGCCCAGUGGUCAGGCCCAGUGGUUCCCAUGGCAAUGCCCUACCCUUGGACUGUCUCAUGGGCCCCACAAGCCACUGGAAUGUCUCAAAAAUACCACCCUUCAGGCAACCAUCCAAACCGCCUCUCACAGACGGCAGCUCUCAAUUCCAGCAACAGGAAAAUCCUUUCAGAGCGUGUCCUGAUUUUCAGCUUGGAAAACAGAUGGCCACCAUUGCAAAAGCUCGCCAUCCGCCCUCUUAUAUCCUCUUCCCCCACCCCUCUCUCUCCAAUAGCAAUGCUGUGGUUACAAACCUCAGGCAGAAUCUGAGCUCAGAUUCCAGUGUCUCCAUCUCUUCCCAGUCCUCCUAGCCUGUACAGCUCCUGUGGCCCUGGCCUUGUCAUCCUUCGUGGCGAUGCCAGUCAGCCACCUGCAGCUCUUGGGACAGACCAAUGAUUCUUUAAAGAAAAAGAAAUUUUGUAAUCAAAUUUAUUCAUUUGCAUGCAUAUACACCAAUGUCUAUGUAUGUGGGGGUGGGGCACAAGACAACAUAUGGGCCCCAGGGAUCCUGGGGAUCCAGGGAUCCAGUUCAGGUUGGCAGGAAGGGCCUUGACCAGCAGAGCCAUCUGGUCAAUAUCCUGAUCAAUGAUUCUGUGAGAAGCUCUCCCUGUCAAUGCUGUCAGCCAUCCAUGCUCUAAACUUCCCUUCCUGGUUUAUUUUCUCCACUAGGCCUAUCACUACCUGAUAUGGGAUCACAUAUAUUUUGGGUUCUGACCAUAUUUUCUUUCCUACAAUGGAAGCUUCAGAAGGACAGGGAUUUUAAAAUCAGUUAUUUCUAGUUUUUGCUUGUUUGAGUUGGUUUCUUUGUUCUGAGAGAGGAUUUCUGGGACUGGAGAGAUGGCUCAGCGGUUAAGAGUACUGUUUGCUCUUCCAGAGGUCCUGAGUUCAAAUCCUAGUAACCACAUGGUGGCUCACAACCAUCUGUAAUGGGAUCAAUGCCCACUUCUAGUGUCUUUGAAGAGAGGUGA
rnacentral:lncRNA from 1 species